rnacentral:rRNA from 1 species
CACGUAGGGGGCGAGCGUUGUCCGGAUUCAUUGGGCGUAAAGGGCGCGCAGGCGGCCCGGAAAGUCGGAUGUGAAAACUCGGGCUCAACCCACGAGCGUGCACCCGAUACUGCCGGGCUUGAGGCAGGUAGGGGAGAUCGGAAUUCCUGGUGUAGCGGUGAAAUGCGCAGAUAUCAGGAGGAACACCGGUGGCGAAGGCGGAUCUCUGGGCCUGUCCUGACGCUGAGGCGCGAAAGCUAGGGGAGCGAACAGG